rnacentral:rRNA from 1 species
GACGUAGGGCGCGAGCGUUGUCCGGAUUUAUUGGGCGUAAAGAGCUCGUAGGCGGCUUGUUGCGUCGACCGUGAAAACCCGGGGCUCAACUUCGGGCUUGCGGUCGAUACGGGCGGGCUAGAGUUCGGUAGGGGAGAAUGGAAUUCCUGGUGUAGCGGUGAAAUGCGCAGAUAUCAGGAAGAACACCCGUGGCUAAGGCGGGUCUCUGGGCCGAUACUGACACUGAGGAGCGAAAGCGUGGGGAGCGAACAGG